rnacentral:rRNA from 1 species
UACGGAGGGUGCGAGCGUUGCCCGGAUUUAUUGGGCGUAAAGGGCGCGUAGGCGGCCACGCACGUCCGUUGUGAAAUCGCCCGGCUCAACUGGGCGGGGUCAGCGGAUACGGUGUGGCUCGAGCAAGCUAGGGGGCAAUGGAAUUCCCGGUGUAGUGGUGGAAUGCGUAGAUAUCGGGAGGAACACCAGUGGCGAAGGCGGUUGCCUGGAGCUUUGCUGACGCUGAGGCGCGAAAGCGUGGGGAGCGAUCCGG